rnacentral:hammerhead_ribozyme from 1 species
AUUAGACUGAUGAGUCCCAAACAGGACGAAACCGGAGUCUUGGAU